GUCGUGAGAUGUUGGGUUAAGCCCCGCAACGAGCGCAACCCCUGUCGUUAGUUGCCAACAGGAAAGCUGGGCACUCUAACGAGACUGCCGACGUUAAGUCGGAGGAAGGUGGGGAUGACGUCAAGUCCUCAUGGCCCUUAUGCCCAGGGCUACACACGUGCUACAAUGGCCGGUACAAAGGGUUGCGAGCCUGCGAGGGUGAGCCAAUCCCAAAAAACCGGUCUCAGUUCGGAUAGAAGUCUGCAACUCGACUUCUUGAAGUCGGAAUCGCUAGUAAUCGCGGAUCAGCACGCCGCGGUGAAUACGUUCCCGGGCCUUGUACACACCGCCCGUCACACCAUGGGAGUCAGUUGCUCCAGAAGUGGCUUGCCUAACCGUAAGGAGGGCGGUCCCUAAGGAGUGGCUGGUAACUGGGGUGAAGUCGUAACAAGGUAACCGUAGGGGAACCUGCGGUUGGAUCACCUCCUUUCUGGAGUCUCGGUGCUCUCGGGCACCGGACAUCAAGGUCAAUCCAAUUUCCUUCGCGUUCAGUCUUGAGAGACCGACUGGGCCUGUAGCUCAGCUGGUUAGAGCACACGCUUGAUAAGCGUGGGGUCGUUAGUUCAAAUCUAACCAGGCCCACACGCCGUUGUUUGACAACCGAAUAGAAGACGAAGCGCGAAUCAAGUACACGCUGCAUUAUAGAAUGCGUGCGAGAUUCGUUGAGUCAAGGUAUCCCGGCCCUAUCUGAGGGGACGGGAUAAGAUCUCGAAAAGCGAACCUUGGUCUUGACCCCGCAGGAGAUGAAGAUCUCCGACAGGUUGGUGGUCAAGCUACUAAGGGCACUCGGUGGAUGCCUUGGCGUCAGGAGGCGAAGAAGGACGUGGUUAGCUGCGAUAAGCCAUGGGGAGCCGCAAGCAGGCGUCGAUCCAUGGAUGU
rnacentral:sRNA from 1 species